rnacentral:tRNA from 1 species
AAUUAAUGAGCUUGAACAAGCAUUUGUUUUGAAAACUUAAGAUAGAAUUAUUAUUCUAUUAAUUU